GGAGAGGUAUCGAAGUGGUCAUAACGAGGCGGUCUUGAAAACCGUUUGUCCGUGAGGGCGCAUGGGUUCGAAUCCCAUCCUCUCCG
rnacentral:tRNA from 1 species